UGCAGUCGAGCGGAACGAUCCUUCCUUGCUAUGAGGCGUCGAGCGGCGGACGGGUGAGUAAUGCAUAGGAAUCUGCCCGGUAGUGGGGGAUAACCUGGGGAAACCCCGGCUAAUACCGCAUACGCCCUACGGGGGAAAGCAGGGGAUCUUCAGACCUUGCUCUAUCGGAUGAGCCUAUGUCUGAUUAUCUUGUUGGUGAGGUAAUGGCUCACCAAGGGGACCAUCCGUACCUGGACUGAUAGGAUGAUCAACCACAUCAGGACUGAGACACGGCCCGAACUCCUAC
rnacentral:rRNA from 1 species